rnacentral:rRNA from 1 species
UACAGAGGGUGCGAGCGUUGUCCGGAAUCACUGGGCGUAAAGGGCGCGUAGGCGGCCUGGUAAGUACGGGGUGAAAUCUCACGGCUCAACCGUGAGGCUGCCUCGUAGACUGCCGGGCUUGAGCAGAGCAGAGGCUAGCGGAAUUCCCGGUGUAGCGGUGGAAUGCGUAGAGAUCGGGAAGAACAUCGGUGGCGAAGGCGGCUAGCUGGGCUCUUGCUGACGCUGAUGCGCGACAGCGUGGGGAGCAAACGGG